rnacentral:tRNA from 1 species
GGUAUAGCUCAGUGGUAGAGCAUGUGUUUAUCAUGCACAAGGCCCUGUGUUUGAUCCCCAGUACC